GACGAACCGAGCGAACGUUGUUCGGAAUCACUGGGCUUAAAGGGCGCGUAGGCGGGUGCUCAAGUCCGGGGUGAAAUCCCACAGCUCAACUGUGGAAUUGCCUCGGAUACUGGGUGUCUCGAGGGUGGUAGGGUAUGCGGAACUAUCGGUGGAGCGGUGAAAUGCGUUGAUAUCGAUAGGAACUCCGGUGGCGAAAGCGAGGUCCUGGACGCCUACUGACGCUGAGACGCGAAAGCCAGGGAGGCGAACGGG
rnacentral:rRNA from 1 species